rnacentral:rRNA from 1 species
CGGCAACAGCUCAAAUUUGAAACCUGGCGCAAGCCCGGAUUGUAAUUUGUAGAGGAUGCUUCGGGGCAGCGGCCGGUCUAAGUUCCUUGGAACAGGACGUCACAGAGGGUGAGAAUCCCGUACGUGCCCGGUGGCCGCCCCCGUGUGAAGCUCCUUCGAC